CGAUAAAAAAAAAGAAGAAAUUGUUAGUAACUUUUUAGAAACAUACUGUUAUUCAGAAAAUUCAUUCAUUGAUUUUCUGGUGAAAUACACAAGAAAUUUGUCUUCUUUGAAUCUCUCUAUUUCCUUUUUUGAGCUAAAGAAGAAAAAGGCAAAAAUUCCCUUAACAAACAGUAUCAAGCACCAAACUUGGAUUUGAUUUCAUCAAUCACAGUUUUUUCAACUUGGAAAGCUUUUGCUAGAACAUCAUCAGGAACAGAAGGUUUGGAAGCAAAGAGACUCCUCGGAGCUACAACAUAUCCAGGCAAAUGACUGUUAAAAGCAGUGAAAAUCAGGGCCUUCUCUUCCCCAACAUUCAUCUGGAAAUGUACAAGCCCCUUAGGAAUCACAAACAUUUGUCCAGGAGUCAAGAUUUUGGAGUAGAACACAUUCCCAGUUGUUAUAAAUCCCACGAGGAGUCUCCCGUUGAUCACUACUCCUGUCUCGGAUGCCCGAGGAUGGGAGUGGGGUGGAUUGAGUCCUCCAGGACCAAUAUCGACUCGACUCAUUGAGAUCCCAAGCGUGUUAAGGCCCGGAAAUGUCAAGACGUUGCCUGAACUCGCAACGCUUCCGAAGGGAAUACUCAUCUUUCCCUCUUUGCUUAGCCCGUCGAAGAAGAAAUCAUCUGAAGUGACAUUUGCGGCAGGCUUGCAAGGAAAUCCGUUAACGGAUAAGGUGCCUUUCGUGUCCGCGAUGCAGAAGUCCUGCAAAGGGUCAGGAUCUGAAGAUUGAGAAGGCAAUGGAAAUAGCAAAAAACCUAUCAGGCACACUGUGAAGUGAACAUACCAGCAGCCUGAUUGAUUUUUCAUGAUAGCCAUGGCUUAUUCUUUUAGGCUAAGAGCAAAUGAAUAAUAUCGUAUACAUGCAUUCUAUAUAUUGGGAUGUUGGAAAUGGUGUUUAUUAAUA
rnacentral:lncRNA from 1 species